UGCAGUCGAGCGAACAGACGAAGUACUUGUACUUCUGACGUUAGCGGCGGACGGGUGAGUAACACGUAAGGAAUCUACCUAUAAGCGGGGGAUAACAUUCGGAAACGGAUGCUAAUACCGCAUAACAUUUACUUCCGCAUGGAAGUAAAUUGAAAGACGGCUCUGCUGUCACUUAUAGAUGACCUUGCGGUGCAUUAGUUAGUUGGUGGGGUAAUGGCCUACCAAGACGAUGAUGCAUAGCCGACCUGAGAGGGUGAUCGGCCACAUUGGGACUGAGACACGGCCCAAACUCCUACGGGAGGCAGCAGUAGGGAAUCUUCCGCAAUGGGCGAAAGCCUGACGGAGCAAUGCCGCGUGAGUGAAGAAGGCCUUCGGGUCGUAAAACUCUGUUAUAAGAGAAGAACAAAUUGUAGAGUAACUGCUACAGUCUUGACGGUAUCUUAUCAGAAAGCCACGGCUAACUACGUGCCAGCAGCCGCGGUAAUACGUAGGUGGCAAGCGUUGUCCGGAUUUAUUGGGCGUAAAGGGAGCGCAGGUGGUUUCUUAAGUCUGAUGUGAAAGCCCACGGCUCAACCGUGGAGGGUCAUUGGAAACUGGGGAACUUGAGUACAGAAGAGGAAUGUGGAACUCCAUGUGUAGCGGUGGAAUGCGUAGAUAUAUGGAAGAACACCAGUGGCGAAGGCGACAUUCUGGUCUGUUACUGACACUGAGGCUCGAAAGCGUGGGGAGCAAACAGGAUUAGAUACCCUGGUAGUCCACGCCGUAACGAUGAGUGCUAGGU
rnacentral:rRNA from 1 species